CCAAUCCCCUCCCGAGGGCCGUCUCUCCCAAUCCCGUCGCUAUCUCCUCCCCCAAUCGCUCAUGCCCGUAGGAACCCUAGCCUAUCCCCAUGAGCCGCCGCCCACCUCCGCCAAUCCCCGGCCUAUCUCCUCCUCUCCCCAAUCCCUGCUCCCCAUUCACCACCUCUUCAUGAUGCCGAGGACAGGGACGGAGGGGCGGCGGCCACGAGCCGGAUGCGGUCGUGCGGAGGCGCGCGAGCAGUGGUGGUGGUCGCGCGGUCGGGAGGAGGAAGCAGGGGAGGACGACGCGAGAGGAGGGGGCCACCAAGCACGACGAAGAGACUCGCGGGGAGGGCGCCACUAGGUCGUCGACGUGCGCUCUCGCGCCCCCAGCACUCUGCUCGAGCUCCGCCCUCAGACGGCCAUGGCGGACAGCGACGGCGAUGGUGCCGCCCACGAAGGCGCGUGGGGCGCCGGCAGCGCCUCGAGCUUCACCUUGAUCUUGCACCAUCAUCUUCACCGGGAGCAGCGCCACCUCCGCUUCGCGCAGCCAUCCUUCAAGCCCCUCCCUUUCACCCUAUUCCUCAAGGCCGCCAAGGUCGUCCUCGACCAGCACAAGCCAGGUACAGAUUGGUUCGUUUUUAUGCCAUAUUGUAUACUGGAGAGAUUAUCACUGUCAUCGUCGCCCCAGCUUCUACAAAUGAGAUCCUCAAGGCCUCUCUUGGUCUUUGAUACCAUGGCUCGACAUGCUUUUGCAUAUGCAGGGCACAACUAACAUCUUGGCGGAUAGUUAUAUGUAUCAACAAGGCUGCAGUAAGGUCAAAAACAAGCAGGAGGGACAUAGCGGAAUGAAUGGAACGAAGAAAGAGGCUGCUGGGGAUGCAAAAUUAAUUCUCCCUGGAGUGGAACAGUUUUAUAUAAUUAUAGCAUGAUUGUCCUCACGAAAAUAUGGAUUUCCAUAGUAUAAAGGUCAAGUAAUGUGUCAAUGGAGUGAUGCCGUCAUCCUGGUCGCAGUGGAGCACAUGCCCCCGAGACGGAUCAUGUGGCACUACCAUCCUGAGCGCACUGUAUGUGGAAAUCAAAUAGAAGACCCAAUUCAUUGGUCACUGGCUGAUAAAGCUGUUUCCUUCUCAUCUGGCUGCUGCUCUGUUGGCGACCAAUAAGGACGGAAAAAUGAGGGCCGCGUGUGGUGGACAUGGGAUAGACAAGGCCGCAAUAGGUGAUGCUGUGUUGCCGGAGAAACAAUAGCAACAGCUAGCAGCACUGUUUUCUCACAUCUUCCAUCCAUUGACGGGUUACUCAUAUCAAGUUAUCUCUUCUCAAUUGAUGUGAAAUUGUGUCUGACGUGGUUGACACUCACCUUAGGAAUCAAGGAUACUUGGACCUGUCCUUCGGUAGCAGUUGGAAAGUUAAUUGAGAGUGCUCGCUAAUUACCAUCACAGAGAAACCAAUUUCUCGCAGGCCAUGGCGACAGUUUAUCCCGAAAGAGAUACUUAGAUUUGCUUUGCUUACAGGAUGAGUCCAUAUGCAUAUUGUCUUUCUCGGCCAAGGAAUCUUUUCUGGCCGGCCGGAGGCCACGAUGGACCCACACGGUGAUGGAGGGGAGGCCAUGGGCGAGCGGUUGAGCGGGCCCAUGAGAAGCUGCAGGGCGCGGAAGGGCAGCGGCCGAGGAUGGAAGCAGCGUGGGAGAUGGAGGAUGUACUCCACACAUUCGUUUCGUCCGCAUCGAGCUGUCCCGUAAAGGUUGCACGCUUCCACCGAGUUCAACGGCGUGCAGCAUGGUGGGAUCCAGUGGAGGUCGUGUUGGCCCAAGGUUGUCCGAAGCUAGCCAUGGUACCCCCUAUGCUAUGAGGUGACACAACCCACUAUGACGUUGUUGCAAACUCUGCUGAAUCUGGGGUACUUGCUGCUGGUAUGCAUCUUCAAUCUUUGUUUACCAAGAUAUGGCAUGGUCGCAUGGAUGAUGGAGUUGGCUGCCCAGAAGUUGAGUUAGAUGCACGAACACGACCAAUGUGGCGAUGGCCAUUCCUCAGGAGGUAGUAUUCAGAACAUUUCUUUCCGUUACCGGAUGUUUCAGAAUUGACACCUGAACUCUCACUUUGGAUGCAUCCUAUAAACCAAGGGGACAACUGUGAAUUCUUUGAUGUGGUGGGUGAUAUUGAUUGGCUGAAUUAGUUCUGUGCUCACAAGUCGUCCGAGAGGAGCACUAGGGAGACUGAGAUUCCAGUUUGCCUUGGAGGCACCUAGCAUUAACCUAAUGACCAGGAUUUAUAUUUUUAAAUGGAGGGAGGGAGUAGCAUUCAAAUUUCACACAACUCAGCUAUGUCUAGAUGAUAGAUGCAAGUGGCCUCUUCUUGAUGUGGCUGAACAUGCUGAUGUGUUCCUAGAUGGUGUGCCUUAUACCUAGGCUCGGAUGUGAUCAUGUUUUGCAGACUAUGGUACCUUUGAUUUAUAACACUCAAGAUAAAGGACAGGCAACUGAGCUGAUGAAUAACAUUUUUGGCAAGGAUACAAUUGUUGAUAUAGAAUCAACUAUCAAACCUAACCAGAUGAUAAAAAGCAAGUAGUUCUUCAGCAAUCACACGUCAUUGUACAAGUUAUCUCGGUGGUUAGAUAUUUUGCAUCUGUUCGACAUGUCUUGACAAAAUAUAUUUAUUGCAGAUGUGUGUCACAGCCUGUCAAAGAUGUGGCAGCCUGGCAGGUGCAGCUGACAAGAAAAACAACCCUUAGACCGUACAAAUUCCAGCUUCACAUUAGGUGCAACAAACCAUUGAUAUUUGUUUGCUUCGUGUUAUCUACGUACCGUUGGAUCUGAGGAUUGUGUUCCUCAUUUUUGUUGUGGUAUUGUAUAUAUAAAUCAAGCGUAUGAUGAAUGGUUGUAUAUGUGAGUGCUUUUGCUUCAUGCUGCUAUCAGUUGCGUAGUUAUGUAGUUUAUUUUAUCCUGUGGCGUGCUUUCUCAGGAAAAACGACAUGUGUUCAUUCCCAUUUCACUACCAAUUUCUCCGCUCUUGUUCGAUUGUAUAUAAUCAUAUUUUCUCCGUUAUGAUUACAUGUGUUCAGUUAUACCAUAGGCCUAUUGCUUUUGCUUUUCAAAUCCAAUAAAAAUACCCGUAUAUUGGUGCGAGCUCCGCGGGGUCGUGCGC